rnacentral:tRNA from 1 species
GGGGUUGUGGCUCAGUGGUAGAGCACUUGCCUAGCAUGCAUGAGGCACUGGGUUCAAACCCUAGCACCACA